UACGGAGGAUGCAAGCGUUAUCCGGAAUGAUUGGGCGUAAAGCGUCCGCAGGUGGCUAUGUAAGUCUGCUGUUAAAGAGUCUAGCUCAACUAGAUAAGAGCAGUGGAAACUACAAGGCUAGAGUACGUUCGGGGCAGAGGGAAUUCCUGGUGUAGCGGUGAAAUGCGUAGAGAUCAGGAAGAACACCAGUGGCGAAGGCGCUCUGCUAGGCCGUAACUGACACUGAGGGACGAAAGCUAGGGGAGCGAAUGGGAU
rnacentral:rRNA from 1 species